rnacentral:misc_RNA from 1 species
AGCAGCCGCGGUAAUUCCAGCUCCAAUAGCGUAUAUUAAAGUUGCUGCAGUUAAAAAGCUCGUAGUUGAAUUUCGGGACCAUCAUGUCGGUCGUGCCUCGGUACGUACUGGUAUUGUUGGUUUCUCCCUUCUGACGAACCAUGAUGUCAUUUAUUUGGUGUUGUGGGAAAUCAGGACUGUUACUUUGAAAAAAUUAGAGUGUUUAAAGCAGGCUCACGCUUGAAUACAUUAGCAUGGAAUAAUGAAAUAGGACGUUUGAUUCUAUUUUGUUGGUUUCUAGGAUCGACGUAAUGAUUAAUAGGGAUAGUUGGGGGCAUUAGUAUUCAAUUGUCAGAGGUGAAAUUCUUGGAUUUAUUGAAGACUAACUACUGCGAAAGCAUUUGCCAAGGAUGUUUUCAUUAAUCAAGAACGAAAGUUAGGGGAUCGAAGACGAUCAGAUACCGUCGUAGUCUUAACCAUAAACUAUGCCGACUAGGGAUCGGAUGAUAUUAAUUUUUUAAUGACUCAUUCGGCGCCUUACG